AGCACCUGCCGCCUGCCACCUGGCAUGCACGCGCCACCCUGCAUCCCUGCUCCCCCCAACCCUCCUCAAGGCGACUGACAGGGCCGAGCUCAGGGCAGCCAGGACAGGGCUGUCUCCACCCAGCUUUGUACUCGUUUCUACUCCUCAUUGUGGACACUUCCAAGCACACUCAGCACUACAGGGAACGGCCCAGGAACCCAUCCACCCGUCCCCAGCUCUCAUCACUCUGACCUCUGGCUUUUUGUUUCCUGGGGCAUUUCACAGCAAAUUCCACCUAUGAGACCGUCUCAUCCGUAAUACACCAGUACAUGCUUCCAGCAGCUUGGUGACAUGAAAGGACCUCCGUGGCUGGCCUUACUCCCUGUGGAUGCCACAGCUGCAGGAUCCUGGGGCCCCAACAGAAGCCGGUGAAGGAAGAGUUCCUGCUCCAGCAGAACAAAACUGCCCUUUGCCCAGAAAUCCUGCAAACUGAGGCUGGACGACUUGAAAUACUCAUCAGCGAGAUUACCACGAAGCCCAGGUGCGAGGGACCCUCACGCCUGUUGCUGCGUGGGCCGCCCAGACAUCGCCAGAGACCAAACCGCAGAAGAUGCUCGGAGCCCAACAUCUACAAACCUGCCCCGCCACGGCCCCCAGGCUCAGAAACUGGUUUUUAGUCAGCUCCAAUGAUUAGCUUUUUUUUUUUUUCUUUUGUUUCCAUAGAAAUGCCUCUUCAAAGCAUUAUGGGACAACACACCCACCCAGUUUCUGUACCGUGGAGCUUCUUGGGGAAGUUUCAGACUAGGAAACAAUGGGGCUCAGGACACAUCACCCCAAAGUAUGACUGUAGGAGACCAGAAUACGCCACCCCUAAAUAUGACUAUAGGAGACCAGAAUACGUCACCCCAAAAUAUGACUGUAGGAGACCAGAAUACGCCACCCCAAAAUAUGACUGUAGGAGACCAGAAUACGCCACCCCAAAAUAUGACUGUAGGAGACCAGAAUACGCCACCCCUAAAUAUGACUGUAGGAGACUAGAAUACGUCACCCCAAAAUAUGACUGUAGGAGACCAGAAUACGUCACCCCAAAAUAUGACUGUAGGAGACCAGAAUACGUCACCCCAAAAUAUGCCAUGUUGACAUGUUGAUUACUUUGAGCUAAAAGCAACUGAGAACCAGCCAACAGAAAAAAAGCUCUUCAGCUCCCUAAAAUAAAGUAAAAAACUCUCUUUUCUAAAGAAAA